CUGCAGCCAGUUAAGCUGACUGGCUUCCUUUCCUCAUGGGGGCCCAGUGUGCAAUGGCUGCAAACAGCAGCUUCCUUGGUAGUGUAAUGCAGCCUCUUUCUUGUAUGGGUUGCUCUAAGGGACCUUGGAGACAAGU
rnacentral:snoRNA from 1 species